UAUAUACUUCCUCCGUUCGGAAUUACUUGUCACAGAAAUGGAUGUAUCUAGAUGUAUUUUAGUUAUAGAUACAUCCAUUUUUAUCCAUUUUUAAGACAAGUAAUUUGGAACGGAGGAAGUAUAUA
rnacentral:pre_miRNA from 1 species